rnacentral:lncRNA from 10 species
AGCUCACCCUCACCCCUCUAGCAGCCACACCUCCUGUGGAUGUGUAGACAGGACACAUGGAAGGAAAGCAAACUGUCACUCUCCACUGAGUAGCACUGGACAGUGCUACUGGUGUCUCCACCCCAAUAAGAGAUAGAUGGCCAGGUGAUAAUGAUGCCCGGUCUUAGUUCAUUUGGGCUGCUAUAAUAAAAUACCAUAAAAUGGUAUUUUAUAAAAUGGCUGGCUUAUAAACAACAGAAAUAGAUUUCUCAUGGUUCUGGGAAGUCCACAGUCAAC